rnacentral:rRNA from 1 species
AUGGACGCAGCGGCGCCGCAACUGCCAUGUUCAGAAUCAGGGCCGGUCUCUCCACCUCCACGAAGGCCACUGCCCCCGGCUGCGUCGAGUGCGCCGCUGAGUGCGCCAAGAUCAAUCAAGGCCAUUUGUAUCGAAAUGGAGGAGUCGUUCCACAGGCGAACGGCACAUGUUACCCAAAUGCACUACAGGCUCUCCAACGAGGUGGCGACGAUGAAGAGGGAAGCGGCGGAUUACAGGAUCUGGUUAGUGAGAACGCUCAUCGGGGUCAUGGUCACGGGAACUGGAGCACUGUUGUUGUUGGCCCUUGUCUUCUCGCCCUACGUGCAACAUGCUUGGCAGUCGGAGACCAUCGCCGAGGUGGAUCGCCGAGCUGCAGCGCUCAUACUUGAGGCGGAGCAAAGUGCCGCCAACCAGGGCGAGAAGAAGGCCUAG